rnacentral:lncRNA from 1 species
CUCCAUCUUGGAUUAUAAAAAACAGAGAACCAAAGGUCAGGAUUUUCUAUCAAGUUUGCAAAAUUUGAUGCAGGAAUGCAGAUAUUUAAUGUGAAUUUUCAUUUAAAAGAAUCAAUUCAUAAGAAUAUAACUUAAAAAUAUUAAUAUUUUUGCAAAUGAUGAUUAAUUUUGGUUGUUUUAAAAAAAUAAUUGAAAUUGCAUUUUAAGGGGAGGUAACGUUAAAACAGUGCAUUUUCUGAAGGAUUCUACAUGGAAUUUUCCUAUUUUGUAUUUUAGCUGGAAAAAACGUACGGUGACCCUAUCUUU